rnacentral:rRNA from 1 species
GAUGAACGCUGGCGGCGUGCCUAAUACAUGCAAGUCGAGCGAAUGGAUUAAGAGCUUGCUCUUAUGAAGUUAGCGGCGGACGGGUGAGUAACACGUGGGUAACCUGCCCAUAAGACUGGGAUAACUCCGGGAAACCGGGGCUAAUACCGGAUAACAUUUUGAACCGCAUGGUUCGAAAUUGAAAGGCGGCUUCGGCUGUCACUUAUGGAUGGACCCGCGUCGCAUUAGCUAGUUGGUGAGGUAACGGCUCACCAAGGCAACGAUGCGUAGCCGACCUGAGGGGGCGAUCGGCCACACUAGGACCGAGACCCGGCCCAGACUCCUACGGGAGGCAGCAGUAGGGAAUCUUCCGCAAUGGACGAAAGUCUGACGGAGCAACGCUGCGUGAGUGAUGAAGGCUUUCGGGUCGUAAAACUCUGUUGUUAGGGAAGAACAAGUGCUAGUUGAAUAAGCUGGCACCUUGACGGUACCUAACCAGAAAGCCACGGCUAACUACGUGCCAGCCGCCGCCGUAA